rnacentral:lncRNA from 1 species
GGGAGUAUUCGUUGAUGCAAUCACAAGAAGCUCGAACAACUUCAGAUGCCACAAGGAGAUAUAUUCUUAUACUUCAAAUAAUUAUUGCGAAUAUAUUUAUAGUGUAACAAUAUGUAAGCCAUUUUUUUGUUUUGCAGAUCAAUUUUACCUUAUUGAUUCUGGAUAUCCGAACAUGCUUGGAUUUCUUGCCCCUUAUUGAGGUCAAAGAUAUCAUCUGCGUGACUAUGUUAGAAGGGAAAGACUAUGUGGUAAGGAAGAAUUGUUUAACUAUAGACACUCCUCGUGCCAUAACAUUAUUGAACAUUGCAUUGAAGUUUUGAAGGCAAGAUUUCCUAUUUUAAAGUUGAUUACCAUCAUCCACUUAAUAGGGGAAGACCAAUCUCUACUGCAUGUUGCGCAAUAAACUUUAUUCAUCAAGAGCACACUUUAGAUAAGUUAUUCAUUGAGUAUUCAGAGAAGAAGAUGGUGUUUCAAGAUAUACCGGAGUCAAAUCAAGAUCAAGAAGUCAUAUGUUUCGAUGCUAGUCAAGCAACUCAAAUGGGACAUGUCAGGGAUCAAAUUGC